GACGAACGAUGGCGGCGUGCCUAAUACAUGCAAGUCGAGCGAAGCGGCGGAUGGGUGAGUAACGCGUGGGUAACCUGCCCGUUAGUCUGGGAUACCAGUUGGAACAAGAUGCUAAUACCGGAUACUAACGGAUGGACCUGCGAUGCAUUAGCUAGUUGGUAAGGUAACGGCUUACCAAGGAGAUGAUGCAGAGGCGGGUUGAGAGACUGAUCGGCCACAUUGGGACUGAGACACGGCCCAAGAUCCUACGUGAGGCAGCAGGAGGGAAUCUGCCACAAUGGACGAAAGUCUGAUUGAGCAACGCCGCGUGAGUGAAGAAGGUUUUCGGAUCGUAAAGCUCUGUUGUUGGUGAAGCGGUAAUCAACCAGAAAGUCACGGCUAACUACGUGCCAGCAGCCGCGGUAAUUC
rnacentral:rRNA from 1 species